rnacentral:rRNA from 1 species
AGUGAACGCUGGCGGCGUGCUUAACACAUGCAAGUCGAACGAGAACGGAUUAUAGCUUGCUAUAAUUGUCAGCUAAGUGGCGCACGGGUGAGUAAUGUAUAGGUAAUAUGCCUCUUACUAAGGGAUAACAAUUGGAAACGAUUGCUAAUACCUUAUAUUCCUUUUUAUCAAAAGAUACAAAGGGAAAGAUUUAUUGGUAAGAGAUUAGCCUGUAUUGUAUCAGUUAGUUGGUGGGGUAAUGGCCUACCAAGACGAUGACGCAUAACUGGUUUGAGAGGAUGAUCAGUCACACUGGAACUGAGACACGGUCCAGACUCCUACGGGAGGCAGCAGUGGGGAAUAUUGCACAAUGGACGAAAGUCUGAUGCAGCAACGCCGCGUGGAGGAUGACACAUUUCGGUGCGUAAACUCCUUUUAUAUAAGAAGAUAAUGACGGUAUUAUAUGAAUAAGCACCGGCUAACUACGUGCCAGCCGCCGCCGUAA